ensembl:lncRNA
CCGGCAAUUAACUUAAAAUACAGCUUUCUCGUUUAUAUUUCACUUGUAUAACCAUUUCAUGAACUUUUCACCCAAAAUGAUACAUGAAAUAAAAAUUUUGACUCACCAAGAUUCGAUGACCUUCAACAAUUGUAUCCCUUUUAUGUCUGAAAAACUGUUACAUCUUGAUAUUUUGUUGUUUAUUCGUCUUGUAGAAAUUAAAUUGUUAUGUUAAUAUACUUUACCAAAAUAUCUCGUGGGUUAACGAGCUAUGCAUUAAUGAGGCUUUAUCAACUGCGUCACAAAUUAUAAAUCAAUUGAACAGUUUCUUUUUCACAUCAACCUUGAUUUCUUUCUUCGGUACAUCAUCUCUAAACGCAUGUAACUUUAUUUUUUUUUAUCAAAUAUCACUACUUGACUAAUUAAAUUCUCAAAUUUCUCGGGAGAGACCUAGAUUGCGUCUGCUCUCGUCCGCUCCACCGAUCAGAGAGGGCGUGAGCUCCUCACCUCCUGCAAGAGCCAACUGAAAAAGCGCUAUGCAACAUACUAAAUCCUCAUUGGUCAGUCUUCCCAAUACAAAAUAAUUAAAUUGACUAUUUAAACCCACAUGAAAACAAUUUAAAUACAUAAAAUAGAAAAGAUAAAAAAUAUUAAUAUCUUCAUUUCACCUGGACAGCACAUGUACAUCUGGCCGACGUCGGCCCAAUAUCCAAACUUCGGCCUCAUUACCUAAAACAUCUAAAAAAACAUCGACCAGGCGGAGGACGAUAUAAUUUGGUCAGUGCUCUGUUUUCCAGCUCAUCAGCCGUCGGCCCGGAUUCGGUUCACGACCGCAGGCCGAUGUCGCGUUUAUAUGUUUGCCUGAGCCCAGUUAUUCGUCUCUUAGCAACCCAGAGAGAGAGAGAGAAGAGACUCAUACCGGCGACAUCUGUGGCUUUCAGACUCUUCAGUGAUGAUGGCCUGCUGCACCCCAGCAGAAUUGGAGUGAACCUACUGCCAGACAGAAGCGUACCAUAGGGUUUCAGUCAGGGCCUUCAGAUGCCCAUCCCAAGGUUACUACAGGUCCUUCUCAAAAAAUUAGCAUAUUGUGAAAAAGUUAAUUAUUUUCCAUAAUUUAAUGAUAGAAAUUAAUGAUAGAUAUGAAUGCUUUGAUAGCGGCCUUAAGCUCAUCCAGAGUGUUGGGUCUUGCGUCUCUCAACUUUCUCUUCACAAUAUCCCACAGAUUCUCUAUGGGGUUCAGGUCAGGAGAGUUGGCAGGCCAAUUGAGCACAGUAAUACCAUGGUCAGUAAACCAUUUACCAGUGGUUUUUGGCACUGUGAGCAGGUGCCAGGUCAUACUGAAAAACGAAAUCUUCAUCUCCAUAAAGCUUUUCAGCAGAUGGAAGCAUGAAGUGCUCCAAAAUCUCCUGAUAGCUAGCUGCAUUGACCCUGCCCUUGAUAAAACACAGUGGACCAACACCAGCAGCUGACAUGGCACCCCAGACCAUCACUGACUGUGGGUACUUGACACUGGACUUCAGGCAUUUUGGCAUUUCCUUCUCCCCAGUCUUCCUCCAGACUCUGGCACCUUGAUUUCCGAAUGACAUGCAAAAUUUGCUUUCAUCUGAAAAAAGUACUUUGGACCACUGAGCAACAGUCCAGUGCUGCUUCUCUGUAGCCCAGGUCAGGCGCUUCUGCCGCUGUUUCUGGUUCAAAAGCACACGCCUGUGCACAGUGGCUCUGGAUGUUUCUACUCCAGACUCAGUCCACUGCUUCCACAGGUCCCCCAAGGUCUGGAAUCGGUCCUUCUCCACAAUCUUCCUCAGGUCACCUCUUCUCGUUGUGCAGCGUUUUUUGCCACACUUUUUCCUUCCCACAGACUUCCCACUCUGGGCUCUGGGAACAGCCUAUUCGUUCAGAAAUUUCUUUCUGUGUCUUACCCUCUCGCUUGAGGGUGUCAAUGAUGGCCUUCUGGACAGCAGUCAGGUCGGCAGUCUUACCCAUGAUUGCGGUUUUGAGUAAUGAACCAGGCUGGGAGUUUUUAAAAGCCUCAGGAAUCUUUUGCAGGUGUUUAGAGUUAAUUAGUUGAUUCAGAUGAUUACGUUAAUAGCUCGUUUAGAGAACCUUUUCAUGAUAUGCUAAUUUUUUGAGAUAGGAAUUUUGGGUUUUCAUGAGCUGUAUGCCAAAAUCAUCAGUAUUAAAACAAUAAAAGACCUGAAAUAUUUCAGUUGGUGUGCAAUGAAUCUAAAAUAUAUGAAAG